GUGUCAGCCGCCGCGGUAAUACGUAGGUGGCAAGCGUUGUCCGGAUUUACUGGGCGUAAAGAGCGCGCAGGCGGUCGGAUAAGUCGAGUGUGAAAGCCCCUGGCUCAACCAGGGAGGGUCAUUCGAUACUGUUCGACUCGAAGGCAGGAGAGGGAAGUGGAAUUCCGGGUGUAGUGGUGAAAUGCGUAGAUAUCCGGAGGAACACCAGUGGCGAAGGCGACUUUCUGGCCUGUUCUUGACGCUGAGGCGCGAAAGCUAGGGGAGCAAACGGGAUUAGAAACCCGUGUAGUCC
rnacentral:rRNA from 1 species